rnacentral:lncRNA from 1 species
CAUUACCCAUCCGAAGAAUUAUCGAAUUCGAGCAUCGAUGACUAUUGCGACAUUAUACGGUGGAUAGAAAAUUCGCUCGGAUUCGAGUCAAUAUCAGAAUACGUAACCGCCAAGGCAGUUUCCCACGGCGUAUAUCAAAUUUAUUUUUCAAGUUAAUGAAAAAAUCCGUCGAGUCUGCGCGACGUCCAAACUGGCCAACAAUAAGAGCGUGGAAAGAACAUUAUCUACUCGCAGUCAAAAUAGCUGACAGUGCUGUACCUCUCGAGUAAAUUACCUGUGCAGUUUGCUGACUUUCGCAUCGAUCACUACCGCGAGUCAUUCUGCAAUACAUGAAAACCACGCGAGCGUGCAUCAACACACCCCACAGCACGCGCGUCGAUUCUAAAGAGGCGAGUCUCAAGAUUGAAAGUGUGAGGCUUGUAGAGCGAUUUCUU